CCUACGGGAGGCUGCAGUGAGGAAUAUUGGUCAAUGGGCGGGAGCCUGAACCAGCCAAGUCGCGUGCGGGAAGAAGGUACUGAGUAUUGUAAACCUCUUUUGCCAGGGGACAAAGGCGGCCACGGGUGGCCGUAAGAGGGUACCUGGAGAAAAAGCAUCGGCUAACUCCGUGCCAGCAGCCGCGGUAAUACGGAGGGUGCGAGCGUUAUCCGGAUUUACUGGGUGUAAAGGGAGCGUAGACGGCGAUGCAAGUCUGAAGUGAAAGGCGGGGGCCCAACCCCCGGACUGCUUUGGAAACUGUAUGGCUGGAGUGCAGGAGAGGUAAGUGGAAUUCCUAGUGUAGCGGUGAAAUGCGUAGAUAUUAGGAGGAACACCAGUGGCGAAGGCGGCUUACUGGACUGUAACUGACGUUGAGGCUCGAAAGCGUGGGUAGCAAACAGGAUUAGAUACCCCUGUAGUC
rnacentral:rRNA from 1 species